UAUGCGUGUUUUAUGCAUCAGCAGAGCACUCCAUUACUGGUAGGCUGCACACACAAUUAGGGCUUUAUGAUCUUUGAAGUCGGUUAAUACAAAGAUUUAUGUAUUUGCAGCAAUAGAAAGCCUGUGAAGUCAUGGGGAUAGAUGUUUUGUAGACCUACAGUCCGAUUCUCCUUUGAGUGGUGUUGGUUUAGCUCCACUGUCUUCAGUGGCAUCCAUCCUCACACCAUCUGAGCACCAGAAGAGCAGAAGAAGGAAACCCAUCCCUCAGUGCAUGCCCGGGGAGGUCCACUCCUAGAGAGCUCGCUUUUAUUUCAGACCACUGGGGAAAGCACCAAGAGAGAGAGCAGGCUCCACGGCAGAAAUCAAACCUUGCAGCACGCUUCUUCCACCGAGCUGCUCACGGCAGCAUCCUCGGGCUGGCACCGCGGAGGGGCCGCUUCACCGGCGGGCUCCUGCCCGCCCGCCUGCCCACGAUGCUCCCCAGGGCACGCCAGGGCGCAGGAGGGCAAGGCAAAUCCACGGCCACGUGGGUGAAAAUGAAGGAAACGCUUUCAGUAAUGAGCCGGGUUAAUGGAUAGUGAAGAUGGCGGUGGUAGGGAGAACGUCAAAGUCAUUCAUCUCAGAGACAAUUCUUUUUCCUGUGUUCUGUGAAAUUUCUGCGUGAGACUCCCUGAAACAUUCAUUGUCGGAAAUGGCCGCGGCUUUUCUCCUGUUGGUUUCUCCAGGAAAGGUCAAGGCAGGCAGCCAGUAGGAUGACUGGACAACGUCACUGCUUUAAAGACCUGUGAGUUCUCACUGACACUGAAACAGUAACGGGCGAUGGAGCAUUAGGAGAAACUACACUGCAAACGCAGGAUGAAAUUUCAAGAGCAGAUUGAAUAGGGAAAAGGGUUAGGAAGGUUUAGUAAGGCAGAGGGAACAAAACCUGAUUUCUCCUAACCACUCUCCCAGCUCUGGGAUCUGGACUACAUGACUCCUACUUAUGUCUGACAUCAUACCUCCACCCCAAAGCUGAAGGAAUAAAUGCCUGCAAACACAGUUUUUGUUACUGACAGCUGCCUGACUGUUUUUCCUCGUAUGUAAACUUCAAAGUCAAUCAGAGGUCAAAGCUCUGGACGAAGACAGACUAACGAAAACAACGGUGGUGAGCACAUGCGAUGUGAAGGAGCUGAGGAUCUCGGUGUAGCACAUCACCUCCUUCCAGAUGAGGGGGGAAAUUAUCGACGUCUUGGAUGCAACGUUUCUUGAUCCGGACAUUUGAUGUGGUUGUCAGGGCUUGAAUACUCAUUGGGAAACAGGUUUCGCAGAGAACUGAAGGGUACAGCCAUGCGCUGCAGGACUUGACAUUCUCUGGCUAUUCUUGGUUCAAGUGAUCUGGAAAUAGCUUAAUAGAUUACCGUAAAAAUGCUGGAGAAAAACAGCCUUUUUCUGGUUUCUGUCAGAUGCAGAGGGCUUCAGGGGAGGGCAUAGGUUUUGAUUCCCAAUGUGCUAUUCUAUAUUCUGUUAAAGGGGAAAUGAAAGAGAAAGGAAGCCCUGGAGAGGCAGCUUCUGCAGCAGAGCAGCAUGGAGCAUGUUCUGUAGACGUAUGCAGUGGUGGCACAGGAUGUGUCUUGAGUUUGUGCUUUUUUUUUUCCCUUUGGGAGAACAUCUGCCUUUUCCCUGUUCAUCUGUCGGCGGGAUCAGGCCCCUGCUUGUGCAGAAGCCGGAGGAUGCUGGUGGCAAAACAUCAGUUACAAUAUCAUUAUUUCAAUUAUUUCCCUCAAAUAUAUUAGUGUGCAUUUGUUGCUUCUUCCACACCCGCAGCGAAUUAAAAAUUGAAAUCAAAUAAUGCCCAAGUUACGCUUAAGCUAAAAGCCAAACUGUGAACACCGGGGCUGUGGGCUGUGCCCAGAGACCCUCCUCUAGAAGGCACGAGAAAGACACGUUUCUUUUUCUCAGGGAAGCAGAGGAGUUUCCCACAGAGGCUGUGCCUGUGCUGCUCUGGAACUCGUGGAGGGGUAGAUGACCGAGAGCAAUGGGGGGAAAUGUUGCAGGCCCAUCAGGCAGGUGCUGUGGGAGGAGAGCACCUUUUUCUAGCUAUGGGCCUCCUGGCAAGGGCUAAGAAGAGUUUCAGUCUUAGGAAGUAUUUGAAACUGUCCCUGAUUCAAGGAAUAUGUGGCUUAUGGUCCCUGGUUAAUGUGGCCAGAAGCAAUGUUGUUCUCUGUAUCUUCUCAUUCAACAACCUUUUUCUGCUCAGUUCCAGGCCAUUUAGCAUCAUCCUUUCCAUUAAUGAUCUUCACAUCAGUUUUCAUUUUAGCUGAAAGUAUUAAUUUUCAGACCAGUUUCAGUGAGUUUUGCAAGAAUUACAAUUUUACUCACUUUUUCAUGACUAUUCAUCACUAAUACCAUUCUGUUUACCCCUAACUUCUAUGUCCCUAAGCAUUAAUGCAAAAGUGAAGGAAAAAAAUACAGCAAGAAGUCAGUGAGAGAAAAGAAAGAAAAGUGUGAAGUACCUCUGUGAAGAGCCGUGUGGGUGCAAAGAGAAGCUAAAAGGAUGCAGGGAGAGAAGUUGGGAAACAAAAGAGGAGGAGAGAAGCUGGCCGGGGGCUGCCCUGCUGGGAGGAAGGGGAAAUGGGAGCAGAAAUGGGAGCAGGGUGAUUAGGUACGGUCUUCAGGCAGAGGAUGGAGAGCUUGCAGGGAUGGGGUAAGGGGCAGGAAGGAAGCAAAUAAAGAGUGCAGGGGGAUGAAGUUUGUGCAGUGAGAAAAAGAGAUUGCCUUAGCAGCAGCAUUUCGCGUUGCGUGCUGGUGGACUGCAUCGUGUGUAAUCAGCUUGAAGUAGCCGUCGUGAUUCUUCAGGAGACGACCUAGAGGAGAGUACUGUGGCUUUAUUUGAAUCCUUUCCUAACCCGGGGUCUCUCCACAUAAAGGCUGAGCAUUGUGCUGCACUGAGUGACAACUGGAGUGUGUUGCGUUUUGUGCAUUGUCAUUGAUUCUAUAUGCCUUUUGUGCCGUGCCUGCUGAAAACAAAGGUCAAGUACCAGCAGAUUCUGUUUUCUCUGAGAGAUUUAACUAAAGCCUGAGGAUAAAGGCAGAGUGCUAGAAACAGCUACUGAGUGUGAAAGAUGUUUAAAUUUGCCUUACUAUAACUUCAAUGUCAGUUUGUCCAUAGCUGCUUUGUAAUCAUUUUUUAUUUUCUUUUGAUGAAAUGACAGGAGAGUAAACAUUUUAAAAAAUCCAGAUGAGUCUUACAGAUGAUAUCUUCUGUAAGUAAAUCCAUUGUUCAAUACAGGCUUGGAAAGAGGUGCUAGGAAACAGAGUGAGGAAGCACACUAAGUAGGACGCAACAAUUUCUGUUCAUAGUUUUGGUGCUAGUAAUUUAGUGAGUGUAAAUUGUAAGGCUCCAAAUGGACUGGGUUGCAUAAGGUUUUCAUAUCCCCUAGUGACAAUAACAGCAAAGGUUAUUGUAUUAGUCUGCAGUGCUUUUGAAGGUUUUGAUUUUGCCAUACCUACAGGGUUUUUUUUUUGUUUAAAUAACAAUAAAUAAAAUAAACCAAAACAGAAUCUUAAGAAAAGCCAGGUUAUUGAAACUGGAUGCAGUUAAUUUACUGGCAGAUACCAAACAUGAGAUCCCACACAGCUACUCCACUUCAGCACGCACUGAUCCUUCAGCUUAGCAGGUGAUAAGGCAGGAAUUCGUGCUCAGCUGGCGAUAAGGCAGCGCGUAGCUGCCUCUGGAGCACACAGAAGCGUCAUGCAAAUCUGGCAGCGCUCGUGUAUCAAGUCGGCAAGACAGACAGGAUGAAGUCAUACGUCUACGGGAGCAAGAAACCAUCCAGUUUACCCACAGUUUUGAAAUUAUGUAUGAGUAAUGCAGCUACUUCUCCCGGUGUAGGAUGUUGUGUACGGGACAUGUCUUGCACACUGUGAGUCUAAAACCAGCCAGCUCAGAAUACGCCAUAAACAAAGAA